rnacentral:rRNA from 1 species
CCUACGGGUGGCAGCAGUGAGGAAUUUUGCGCAAUGGGGGAAACCCUGACGCAGCAACGCCGCGUGAGUGAUGAAGGCCUUAGGGUCGUAAAGCUCUGUCAAGUGGGAAGAAAAUACAUUUCAAUAAUACUGUUAUGUACUGACGGUACCACUAAAGGAAGCACCGGCUAACUCCGUGCCAGCAGCCGCGGUAAUACGGGGGGUGCAAGCGUUAUUCGGAAUCAUUGGGCGUAAAGAGCGCGUAGGCGGUCUCUUAAGUCAGAUGUGAAAGCCCGGGGCUUAACCCCGGAAGUGCAUUUGAAACUAAGGGACUUGAGUAUGGGAGAGGGAAGUGGAAUUCCUGGUGUAGAGGUGAAAUUCGUAGAUAUCAGGAGGAACACCGGUGGCGAAGGCGACUUCCUGGACCAAUACUGACGCUGAGGCGCGAAGGCGUGGGUAGCAAACAGGAUUAGAUACCCCGGUAGUC